CCUCUUCCUCGGUCUCCCCGGGAUCCGGGCGCGCUCCAGAUCUCUCUCCCGGGUUCUUUCCCCCCCCUGCUGUCCUUAAUGGCUGUGUAGUCCACCUUGGAAGAGUUCUUUUUUGUUUUUGUUUUUCAAGCUGGUUUGCCAGCGUCUGCAGUCACUCGCCUGUGCUCCCUCUGUGUCGAACACAAGGUUGUGAUUUUUCCGAUUUUUUUUUUAUUUUUUUUUCUGGUCAGUGGAGAGCUCCGGAGCACAUCCGAGGUUGUGAUGUCUAGUCUGGAAUGCUGCUGCUUCUCACUUGUAAGGAUGUUACCUUGGCAGGUUACUUAGCCUCUCUGUGCCCGUUUCUCUGUGAAACAGAUGGCGCUAGUGCUCAGAACCCGGGGCUGGUGUGUGCGUCACUUGAGAUAAUGCAUGGAAAGCCCUGGCGCAAUGAGUCGCUCGAUGACUGUUAACGAUUCCAAGCGCUGCCUUCUUUCCUGUUGUAACUGGGUGAGCUCCUCCAAAGAUGGAAUAUUGUGCUUGAAGUCCACUUACCUGCUUGGGUACUGUGCUAGCAGGACGAACACCACCCAGGCUCUGCUCUCAGAAACACGGAGAUAAUAAAUGAUGGAAGGAAGAAAGCUAACCUGGGAAAACAAAACAAAACAGAAGACCAGUGGAACCGAGGGUUCAUCCUUAACACAAAAACGUUUAUCCUUACAACAAAAACAUUUCACAGAAUAUUAGAAGUGAAAAGAACUUUAGAGAGAAUAAUGUUAGUUAAGCUCUUGAUGAUACAAGCAAGUAAGGAAACUUGGAUCCAGAGAAGCAACGAACUGAAAGUCACACAAUUAGUGUCAGGGCUAGGAGGGGACAUGAAGUCUUGAAAUGCUCACUACCUCCCUCCAUUCCCAAAAUCUGCUGCAGGGUGUUAAUAAGGUAAAAGCAAAUUCACUUUCAAGACCUUCACUGUCAAGUGAAAAGCACUAGGAAAAUCCCAGUCCAGGAGAGACAGGAGCAAGGUAACCUAGCAGAUGCCACAGGAUUCUGAUGACUGUUUGAAUGUUCUGGUCUGGCACUGCUGAGUUCACUUAAAAUAGAGUUAGCUCUCUCUCCCCUGGUGAAUGUCUUAUACUUACCCAGAACUGAGGGGUUAAGUAUCACCUCCUGUGAGUGAGCCCUCUCUUCUGUUUUAAAUGGCUGGACCAGAAUAAGAAACUGCUCCAAGCAGUAACCAAAGAUAGAAAGAUUGAGUGCAUUGCAAUGCCAUGACACAAUCUUAGUUAGGCUAAUCUAUUGCAAGCAAUUUCUCUUAAAUAUUCAUUCAGUCUUUGUUCUAGGACUACGACAAAGCUAGCAUAGAUAUUAGUAUUAUUUUUGAAAUACUGGUAAUAAGUAUGUGUUCCAAAUAAUCAGGUAAUUACACGAACCCAUUGAAUAAUGUAGUUGGGAUAGAUACAAUUUAAGGUUUCUUCCAACUCUAUCAUUAAAAAGGAUCAAUGACAUUUUUAAUGACUGCACCACAAAAAUUAAUCUGAAGUUACAGAGUUAGCCAGUGGCAGUCAGUAGAGAACUGACUAGAAUCUAGAAUGACUAGGAUCUAGGACUGACUAGUUCUGGAAUCUCAGCCUCCUAAUUCCAUUCAUUCAUUGUUCAUUCAUUCAGGAGAGACACUAUGCUUGGGCAUUGGGUAUACAAAGAUGAAUAAGAUAGGGGUGCCUGGGUAGCUCGGUUGGUUGAGCAUCUGACUCUUGAUUUCCGCUCAGAUCAUGAUCUCAAGCAGGGUCAUGAGAUCGAGCCCUGCCUCAAGCUCUGUGCACAGUGGAGUCUGCUUGAGAUCCCCCAUUCCCCCAGACAUAUGCUCAUGCUCGCUCUCUCUCUCUCAAAUAAAUAAGUAUCUUUUAAAAAGAUGACUGAGAAGGGGAUCCCUGGGUGGCGCAGCGGUUUGGCGCCUGCCUUUGGCCCAGGGCGCGAUCCUGGCGACCCGGGAUCGAAUCCCACAUCGGGCUCCCGAUGCAUGGAGCCUGCUUCUCUCUCUCUCCUCUCUCUCUCUCUCUCUCUCUCUCUCUGUGUGACUAUCAUAAAUAAAUAAACAAAAAUAAAAAGAUUUAAAAAAAAAAUAAAAAGAUGACUGAGAAGGGGAUCCCUGGGUGGCGCAGCGGUUUAGCGCCUGCCUUUGGCCCAGGGCGCGAUCCUGGAGACCUAGGAUUGAGUCCCACGUUGGGCUCCCUGCAUGGAGCCUGCUUCUCCCUCUGCCUAUGUCUCUGCCUCUCUCUCUCUCUCUCUCUCUCUGUGACUAUCAUAAAUAAUAAUAGUAAUUAAAAAAAGAUGACUGAGAUAAUCUGCUUUUGAGGAACUUCCUAUUUGGUGAGGGAGACAACUUUUAAAAGAUUUCAUUUUUUACAUGGAGAUGGAACUUACAACCCCAAGAUCAAUAGUCUCAUGUUCUACUGACUGAGCCAGCCAGCUGCGCCAUGGAGGCAGAACUUUUAAGGGAAAAAUAAUUCAGUGUUAAUAUUAUCAUAGAUCCAUGUCGUUCCUCCUUUUAAUCAAUGUACUUUCCCCCCUUUGACGCCAAAAUACCAUAACUUGACAAAAAUAAAUACUAAAAAUAUUUUCUAAUCAAAUUUAAAAUCAUUCGAACCACAUUUUUAAGAGUCUGAAACAAUCAGAAUUUACAUUAAUCUUUAUAUAGGUCUUAGAAUCAGCAUUUGGGUUAUAUGCCUACCUCUGCUGUUAACUAGCCAUGUGACAUUAGACAAAUCACCUCAAUUUCCUCUUUAAAGUCCUUUCUGCAGUAAAUCUUGUCUUAUUCUGUGUAGUAGAAAACAAUGCAUAUUUCCCACUGUAACCACUAGAUUACACACUUUCUUUUCCUCCCUCUCCUUCCCCCCCUUCCUUCCUUCCUUUCCUUCUCUUCCAUUCCCUCCAUACCUCCCUCUUUCCUUCCCUCCCUCCUCCCUCCUUCCUUUCUCUCUCUCUCUCUCUCUCUCUCUCUCUCUCUCUCUCUCUCUCUUUGCUUUCCUGUUAAUUCACCUGACAAAGACAUCAUUACACCACCUUUGGAACAACCUCCAAUAUGGAUAGCCACUGUGCAUCCUAAGACUCUAAGAUGACAGAACUAAAAUGUUUGUUGGAUGAGUGAAAGAAUGAAUGGAUUCUAGGAUUCUCUCUGGCCCCUUUUAUCCCUUACUACUAUUACCUUUUCUUCUAUUAAAAUACUCUUUUGAAAGCUGUGAUGGUAGAAAGAGGAAGAUGAGACAAUAUAUAGGAACUGGGUUGGGAGGAGAAUGCAAAAGGCACUACAUUGCAUCCCAAAGCAAACAUCAGUGCACUGUGGUAUUUAUGGAUGAAAUCAUAUAAUAUCUGAGACUUAUUUUAAAAUAAUAUGAGAGGGCAGCCCCAGUGGCCCAGCGGUUUGGCGCCGCCUUCAGCCCAGGGUGUGAUCCUGGAGACCCCGGAUCGAGUCCUGCGUCAGGCUCCCUGCAUGGAGCCUGCUUCUCUCCCUCUGCCUGUCUGCCUCUCUCUCUCUCUCUCUCAUGAAUAAAUAAAUAAAUAAAUAAAUAAAUAAAUAAAUAAAUAAAUAUCUAAAAAAAUAAUAAUAAUAUGAGAGAGUUCAGAUAAUAAAGAUGGGUCAUAUAUUGAUAAUGUUGAAGCUGGGUAUAUUUGGUUUCAUUAUAUUCUUUUUUUUCUUUGUAUGCUUGAAAAUUUACACCAUGUUAAAAAUAAGAUAAUGAAUGCAUUGCCCUUUCUCUCUAGUCAAGACUAAGUUCAAACUAUCCCAUGGAAUCUCAAUUUGGAUUCUUUUGACUGAUGUGAUAGAAACCUUGUCAUAGGUUGUGUUUUUGAGAAGUAGAAACUGAUGAAGAGGGGAUUUUUAUUAGGAAUGGACAGGAACAGGAUUGGUGAGAGGAAGAUGUUGAAAUGCUACUCAGGUUGAAGCAAUCUUCAGCCAGCUUGGGGGAGAGCUGCAGAGUGAGUGGUACCCAUCAGAGAGUACCCAGGUUCGGGUUGAAAGGGCCAGCCCUUUGUACUGGAUGCAGCCUGCCUCAGGAAGGGUACGACUUCAAGCGAGGUGGCCCUCUGCAGCUGAGGCGGACCCCAGAGAAGUGAACAGCUGGGGGCUGCCAGCAGGCCAUACUCUUUGGAACUGUGCUUCAAGUCCAUCCUUGAAGGGGAAUCUGGGCAGCACUUCUCUGCAUCUUCCACAAAACACAGCAGAACGUGGCUUCAACAAUAGGGGAUGUAUUGACUUCUAUGAAUGGACUCUUAUGGCAGGCAUCAAGGUUGGUUGUUCCAGUAACUCAAUGAUACCAUUCAGGACCCACACUUCUCUCCCUCUCCACUCUACCUUCAGUAGCAUCUGCUUCAGCUUAUGGCCAGAUUCCCUCAAGGUGGCAAAAUGGCUGUAGCAAUUCAUCUCACAUCUACACACUGCGCACACUCUCAGAGGAGAUGACAGGCAUUCGGUAAUUCCAGGGCGAUUCUCGGGCUGGAAAAGAGAAUAUAUACAUUUAUUUCUGGGGCACCUGGGUGGCUCAGUCGGUUAAGCAACCGCCUUUGACUCAGGUCAUGAUCCCAGGGUCCUGGAAUUGAGCCCCAUAUUGGGCUCCCUGCUGAGGGAACCUCUCAUUUUCCCUUUGCCUCUCCUUUUCCCUCUGCCCCUCCCCUGUGUGCGCUCUCUCUCUCAAAUAAAAUCUUUUGAAAACAUA